ACUUGCUAGUCUCCUGUGAAAGUCGAUAUCUCUGCCCUGUUGUGGAUAGACCUGCUAGUCUCCUGUGAAGGUGGAUAUCUCUGCCCUGUUGUGGACAGACCUGCUAGUCUCCUGUGAAGGUCGAUAUCUCUGCCCUGUUGUGGACAGACCUGCUAGUCUCCUGUGAAGGUGGAUAUCUCUGCCCUGUUGUGGACAGACCUGCUAGUCUCCUGUGAAGGUGGAUAUGUCUGCCCUGUUGUGGACCCAGACCUGCUAGUCUCCUGUGAAGGUGGAUAUCUCUGCCCUGUUGUGGACAGACCCGCUAGUCUCCUGUGAAGGUGGAUAUCUCUGCCCUGUUGUGGACAGACCCGCUAGUCUCCUGUGAAGGUGGAUAUCUCUGCCCUGUUGUGGACAGACCUGCUAGUCUCCUGUGAAGGUGGAUAUCUCUGCCCUGUUGUGGACAGACCCGCUAGUCUCCUGUGAAGGUGGAUAUCUCUGCCCUGUUGUGGACAGACCCGCUAGUCUCCAGUGAAGGUGGAUAUCUCUGCCCUGUUGUGGACAGACCUGCUAGUCUCCUGUGAAGGUGGAUAUCUCUGCCCUGUUGUGGACCCAGACCUGUAAUGAACACCAAUGUUACUGCUAACUGUCAGAUCUUAUCUACACACCCACACAGCCGGUAGGGUUAAAUUAACCCAUACAUAACACC
rnacentral:lncRNA from 1 species